AGUGGUUGGUUCUGCACACACACGGCCUACUCAGCUUCCUGAACAGUCUUCCUCCUCACAACAGAAUGGUAGUUUUUCAGAUAUAUCUCCAGUUCAAGCUGCAAAAAAGGAAUUCGGACCCCCUUCACGUAGAAAAUCCAGUUGUGUGAAAGAGGUUGAAAAACUGCAAGAGAAACGUGAAAAAAGAAGGUUACAGCAGCAGGAACUUAGAGAAAAAAGAGCUCAGGAUGUUGAUGCUACAAAUCCAAAUUAUGAAAUUAUGUGUAUGAUAAGAGAUUUCAGGGGAAGUUUGGAUUAUAGACCACUGACAACUGCAGAUCCUGUAAGUACCUAAGUGAUGUGGAAAUUUUUUAUCCUUCUGAAUUUUGCUCUUUUUUUCCAAUUUUUUCAUAUGUAUGUACCUGGCCUUGAACACUUCAACAGAAGGAGCAUCCACAAGUUCUCUGGGCAAUCUAUGUCUCACCACCCUCAUAGUAAAGAAUUUCUUCCUAACAUCUAAUAUAAAUCUCUCCUAUUUUAGUUUAAAACCAUUUCCCCUCAUCACUAUACUCCCUGCUAGAGUCCCUCCCCAUCUUUCCUGUGGGCCCCCUUUAUGUACUAGAAAGCUGCUAUAAGGUUUCCCCAGAGCCUUCUCUUCUCCAGGCUGAACACCCUCAGCUCUCCCAGCCUGUCUCCAUAGCAGAGGUGCUCCAGCCCCCGAUCAUCUUCAUGACCUCCUCUGGACUCACUCCAACAGGUUCAUGUCCUUAUGCUGGAACCCCCAGAGCUGGAUGCAGUACUCCAGGUGGGGUCUGACAAAAGCAGAGUAGAAGGGGAAAAUGACCUCUCGACUUGCUGGUCACACUGCUUUUGAUACAGUAUAGAAUGUGAUUCACUUUCUGGGCUGUAAGCACACAUUGCCAGCUCAUAUUCAGUUUCUCAUCCACCAAUAUCUCCAAGUCCUUCUUGGCAGGCCUGCUCUCGAUCUACUCAUUGCCCAGCCAGUAUCCAUGUUUGGAAUUGCCCUAACCCAGGUUCAGGACCUUGCACUUGGCCUUGUUGGACUUCAUGAAUUUCACAUGGGCCCAACUCUGAAGCCUGUCCAGGUCCCUCUGGAUAGUAUUCCUUCCCUCCAGCAUAUCAACCACACCACACAGCUUGGUGUUGUCAGCAAAAUUGCUGAGGGUGCACUUAGUCCUACUGCCCAUGUCACCAACAAAGAUGUUAAACGGCGCUGGUCCCAAUACCAACUCUCGAGGAACAACACUCAUCACUGGUCUCCACUUGGACAUUGAGCCAUUGACUGUAACUUGUCGCCCUGAUUUUUUAAGAUUUUCUAAGCCUUCUGAUGUUUACA